UGCUACAAGACCUGAUGCUGACUGUAAUCGUCGCCGUCACCAGGCAACACACAUGCCACCAUGAAGAAGAUCUGCCACUGUACCAUCAUGGCCAUUUGAUUCCACACCAUCGUGCUGAAGCAGUGUGCCUACUUCAUCAUACAGCUGCCACUCUUCUGGUAUAUCUCUCCUGAUGCACUGAUGGCUGUUUCUGGACUCCGGUGUGCUGACUGUCCCACCUACGUGGCCAUGUGGUCUGUUGCCCUUUUCUCGAUCACUGGGUGGUGACUCAAGAUGCAGUUCUUCUUGAGCAUCCUCGGAUGAGAGAGAAUGAAAUCGCUCAAGCACUUCGCCUUUUUAUGAUCCUAUCCUGUUUCCCUCUAUUAUCCAUUACCCUCUCCCACAAUCUCUGCCUUAUGGCCUCAGUUCCUCUGUGGAGCAGACAGAAUUGAAUAAAAUUUAUGAUCUGCAAAUGGAGA